rnacentral:misc_RNA from 1 species
GUAGGUGAACCUGCGGAAGGAUCAUUAAAAACGAUCACCGGUGUAUUCCAGCGACGUCGUUUACUCGACCUUGUGGGGCUGUCUUAAACUCACAGCGUUGCCAGCCGCGCGGAAUACUGAUGCCCUAGCCUUCGGGCUAGGGGCCGAGUGAAUCCCACCCGUGUCUACAUACUCUUGUUGCUUUGGCGGGCCGUGGCCUCCACUGUGGGCUCUGCCUGCAUGUGCCCGCCAGAGGAUCCAACUCUGAAUUUUAGUGAUGUCUGAGUACUAUAUAAUAGUUAAAACUUUCAACAACGGAUCUCUUGGUUCUG